GGUGGAGUGGCUCAAGUGGUAGAGUAUCUGCCUAGCAAGCACAAGGCCCUGAGUUCACAUCCCUGUGCCACAA
rnacentral:tRNA from 1 species